rnacentral:rRNA from 1 species
CCCUUAGAUGUUCUGGGCCGCACGCGCGCUACACUGAUGAAUUCAACGAGUUUUCCACCUUGACCGAGAGGUCCGGGAAAUCUUUUCAACUUUCAUCGUGCUGGGGAUAGAUUAUUGCAAUUAUUGAUCUUGAACGAGGAAUUCCUAGUAAGCGCGAGUCAUCAGCUCGCGUUGAUUACGUCCCUGCCCUUUGUACACACCGCCCGUCGCUCCUACCGAGUGGGUGAUCCGGUGAACUAUUCGGACUCCGGUUAUUCCAGCAUUUGGUUUUGCUGGGGAAAGUUUCGUGAACCUUAUCACUUGGAGGAAGGAGAAGUCGUAACA